rnacentral:rRNA from 1 species
AUGGCGGAGGAACCGUCCGCCAAGCGUCAUCAUGCCGAGACGUCGGACAAGAGGAGCAACCUCGUCGACAUUAAAGUCCCCGGCGAGAAGCGCAACUACACCAGAACGCUCGAAGGGGUUGAGCUCCACGGCAAGGAGACGCUGGAGAUCAUCUGCACCAGCGAACCAGACAAGGCCGACGAGGUGAUCUCCAGGAUGUGGAUGAAGCUUGGCGGCACGUUUCGUAGGAUCGUCGGCGUUGGUGUGCACUACACCAACGAAGAUGAACCUCCCCAGAUGGCGGCAGUCCUGCAGUUGUGCGUCGACGAACUCUGCUUGGUGUACCACAUCGCCGCGGACACAAAAUGGUGA